rnacentral:tRNA from 1 species
GAGGGUAGAGCUCAGUGGUAGAGUGUGUGCUUGGCAUGCAUGAGGUGCUGGAUUCAAUCCCCAGUACCUCCA